rnacentral:misc_RNA from 1 species
UCAAACUUGGUCAUUUAGAGGAAGUAAAAGUCGUAACAAGGUUUCCGUAGGUGAACCUGCGGAAGGAUCAUUAUUGAAUAAACUUUUUCCAAGUUUUUUUCAUAUUCCCUGUUUAUAUUUAAUACGUUCCUUCCAUCGGACAGGUCUUUUAGGACCCUCUAGCUUGAGCAAAUGCUUUUGCUGGGGAGUUGCCGGUGGCAUUUCUAAAAAAAAACUUUUGUUAUAUUAUGAAAUGUCUGAAUAUACUUUUUAAAUUAUAUAAAACUUUCAACAACGGAUCUCUAGGCUCUUGCAUCGAUGAAGAACGCAGC